GAUGAACGCUAGCGGGAGGCCUAACACAUGCAAGCCGAGCGGUAUUUCUUCUUCGGGAGAGAGAGCGGCGUACGGGUGCGGAACACGUGUGCAACCUGCCUUUAUCUAGAGGAUAGCCUUUAGAAAGGAAGAUUAAUACUCUAUAAUAUAUUAAUUGGCAUCAAUUGAUAUUGAAAACUCCGGUGGAUAGAGAUGGGCACGCGCAAGAUUAGCUAGUUGGUGAGGUAACGGCUCACCAAGGCAAUGAUCUUUAGGGGGCCUGAGAGGGUGAUCCCCCACACUGGUACUGAGACACGGACCAGACUCCUACGGGAGGCAGCAGUGAGGAAUAUUGGUCAAUGGGUGCAAGCCUGAACCAGCCAUCCCGCGUGAAGGAUUAAGGUCCUAUGGAUUGUAAACUUCUUUUGUAUAGGGAUAAACCUACCCUCGUGAGGGUAGCUGAAGGUACUAUACGAAUAAGCACCGGCUAACUCCGUGCCAGCAGCCGCCGUAAAAC
rnacentral:rRNA from 1 species